rnacentral:rRNA from 1 species
UACGUAGGGUGCGAGCGUUGUCCGGAAUUAUUGGGCGUAAAGAGCUCGUAGGCGGUUUGUCGCGUCUGCUGUGAAAUCCCGAGGCUCAACCUCGGGUCUGCAGUGGGUACGGGCAGGCUAGAGUGCGGUAGGGGAGAAUGGAACUCCUGGUGUAGCGGUGGAAUGCGCAGAUAUCAGGAAGAACACCGAUGGCGAAGGCGGGUCUCUGGGCCGAUACUGACGCUGAGGAGCGAAAGCGUGGGGAGCGAACAGG